UCGCUCGAUCGCGCUAAUGGGCAGCCGGCCGCCAACUAGAUGCGUCCCAAAAACUACCCUAGUUCGCACCAACUCUCACAGCCGCCGACCGAUCCACGGCUCCACGCACCUGCACGACCUCACGCUCGCGCCGCCGCCGCUCUUCUCAGCCGCCAACCAGGCUCGCGGCUGCCGUCGUCUACCUGUCGCGGGCCGCCGCCGAGGAGCCGUCCACCGACCGCCGCCGUUCCACCACUUCCCCAGACCCCAGCCCCCAGGCAGAGGCAGGCCCCUCCGCGGCUCCGCCCCAGGCUGCUCCCCUAGACCCGGUCUCCGCAACUGUUCCCGGGCGCGGUGCGCCGUUCGCCGCCGUGCGUCGUUCCCUACUUCCCUGCCUUACCAAAAUAAAAGUUGAGGAAUAAGAUGAGAGAUGAUUGGCUGAAUCACAGGAUGGUUCGCUAUAUUGACCGAGAUGUAUUUGAAAGUAUUGAUGAUGGUGCUAUACAUAUCGCUUUCAAUCAUAUAGUUCUUGCAAAGGGCUUUUACCUCGUCGAAGUGGUGUUGGUUCAUCUACCGUUGAUCAAGUUAUGGGAGGCACCGAUGAAUGAAGUAAUCAAUUGAUUUG
rnacentral:rRNA from 1 species